AUUGAACGCUGGCGGAAUGCUUUACACAUGCAAGUCGAACGGCAGCACGGGGGCAGCCCUGGUGGCGAGUGGCGAACGGGUGAGUAAUACAUCGGAACGUGCCCGGUCGUGGGGGAUAACGUAGCGAAAGUUACGCUAAUACCGCAUACGAUCUGAGGAUGAAAGCGGGGGACCUUCGGGCCUCGCGCGAUCGGAGCGGCCGAUGUCAGAUUAGGUAGUUGGUGGGGUAAAGGCCUACCAAGCCGACGAUCUGUAGCUGGUCUGAGAGGACGACCAGCCACACUGGGACUGAGACACGGCCCAGACUCCUACGGGAGGCAGCAGUGGGGAAUUUUGGACAAUGGGCGCAAGCCUGAUCCAGCCAUUCCGCGUGCAGGACGAAGGCCUUCGGGUUGUAAACUGCUUCUGUACGGAACGAAAAGGCUCUGGCUAAUACCUGGGGCUCAUGACGGUACCGUAAGAAUAAGCACCGGCUAACUACGUG
rnacentral:rRNA from 1 species